rnacentral:rRNA from 1 species
CCUACGGGUGGCAGCAGUGGGGAAUAUUGGGCAAUGGGCGCAAGCCUGACCCAGCAACGCCGCGUGAAGGAAGAAGGCUUUCGGGUUGUAAACCUCUUUUCUCAGGGACGAAGUAAGGGACGGUACCUGAGGAAUAAGCCUCGGCUAACUACGGGCCAGCAGCCGCGGUAAUACGUAGGUGGCAAGCGUUAUCCGGAUUUACUGGGUGUAAAGGGCGUGUAGGCGGGGACGCAAGUCAGAUGGGAAAAGCACGGGCUAAACCUGUGUCCUGCAUGUGAAACUGUGUUUCUUGUGUGCUGGAGAGGCAGGCGGAAUUCGUAGUGUAGCGGUGAAAUGCGUAGAUAUUAGGAGGAACACCAGUGGCGAAGGCGGUCUACUGGACAGCAACUGACGCUGAGGCGCGAAAGCGUGGGGAGCAAACAGGAUUAGAUACCCGAGUAGUC